rnacentral:rRNA from 1 species
CACGUAGGGGGCAAGCGUUGUCCGGAUUUAUUGGGCGUAAAGAGCUCGUAGGCGGUUCGGUAAGUCGGGGUGUGAAACCUCCAGGCUCAACCUGGAGACGCCACCCGAUACUGCUGUGACUAGAGUCCGGUAGGGGAGCGUGGAAUUCCUGGUGUAGCGGUGGAAUGCGCAGAUAUCAGGAGGAACACCGAUGGCGAAGGCAGGUCUCUGGGCCACUACUGACGCUGAGAAGCGAAAGCAUGGGGGAGCGAAACAGG